GGAAUUUUGGGCAAUGGGCGAAAGCCUGACCCAGCAACGCCGCGUGAAGGAUGAAAUCCCUCGGGAUGUAAACUUCGCAAGAACAGGAAGAAUAAGUCCGUGCAAACACCACGGGCGAUGACGGUACUGUUUGUACGCUCCGGCUAACUCCGUGCCAGCAGCCGCGGUAAUACGGGGGGAGCAAGCGUUGUUCGGAUUUACUGGGCGUAAAGGGCGCGUAGGCGGCCACCGCAAGUCGGUUGUGAAAUCUCCGGGCUUAACCCGGAAAGGUCAACCGAUACUGCGGGGCUAGAGUGCAGAAGGGGCAACUGGAAUUCUCGGUGUAGCGGUGAAAUGCGUAGAUAUCGAGAGGAACACCUGCGGCGAAGGCGGGUUGCUGGGCUGACACUGACGCUGAGGCGCGAAAGCUAGGGGAGCGAAC
rnacentral:rRNA from 1 species